CCCAGUGGAGGUGGCAGAGCCGGUGGCUCCAGAGAGAAGGAGGGGGAUCCCCUCCCCGGGCGUGGCCUUCGAAGGCCAACGGGCCCAAUGGCCUGGGGCGAGGCCGUGGAGACCCGGACUGGCGCCGGCGCCAGCUGGAGGGAGACGACCCCGGGCAGAAGGUGGCAUUUUUUCCUGCCGGGGGUCCCCGAGGUGGCCUCUGGUGAGGGGGAGGCGGUGGUCUGAGGUCUCCGUCCCCUAAGUCACCUGAAACUGCUCCCCACUCACUUCCUGCCCGGCGAUCCGGCUCUAUGGGUCGAGUAGGCUGGGCACAUAAGUCUUGCCCCCUCCCACUGUACAGACAGGGGAGACGGAGGCUCGAAGGGAGCCCCAGGCCGACGGGGGGGGUUCCAGGACAAAGGCAUUUGGGGGGACCUAGACAGGUGCUGAGUACUGGGAGGACUGAACCGCGUCCUCCAGCCCUCUUCCCUGCUGGGCCCGAGGCUCCCGGGGCAGAAGUCCAGAGGGCCCCCAGGUGGGUCAGGGGCAGGAGGAGGGCUGGGGUCCGGGCCACCCCCAGGAGAGUGGGGGAGGGGCGGCGGGAUUGACAGUCGGUAAUUGGGUAACUGGAGGCGGCUUCUCAGGCCGGGCGGCCCCGCCACCGCGACGCCGAGCCCCUGACGUCACCCGAUUCGCCAGGAAAUGAACUUUUUAAUAAUCCGAGGAGGGAGGAAAGCCCUCGGUCCCCUCCGCUCCGGGGGCGCCCGGCUGGGCCCAGCUCCGCGGGCGCGCCCCCGUCACCCCCUCCCCGGCCAGCUCAGGGCAGCGCCGAGUGGGCGCUGGCUCAGGCUGGGGCUUCCUCCUGCUUCUCCGUCUGGCGUCCGUUUGUCUGUCCGAGGCCCAAACGCAGGUAAACCGCGGGGCUUGGGGGGGCGCAGAGCUCCACUGUGCUGGGAACCAGCGUGUCUAGUGCCCUGGGGGACCUGCCUGCCGGAGCCGCCUGCUGAUCCUCCCGCUCCCCUCCACUCCGGGGCGCGCGGAGUCGGGUCUGCUCCGAAUUCCACUCCGCGGGAAUGGAGGCCUGCGCCAGCCGGGAAAGACGCGCGAGGCGGGAGGGAGAGCGCUAGGUCCCCGGCGCCGGGCCUCCGCGGCCAGGCCGGGCAGCUUACGAUUCUUCAUCAACGCGUAAAAUGAGAUCGCAGCGGAACUCGAGCCUAUUUGGCGUCUCCGGAGCCUAGCAGGACCCUUUGAAAGACACCGCGGCCCCGGGGAUAAUCCCCCGCGUCCAGCAAAGCUGCCCUGCUCGAGCGCGAACCCUGGGACCCAGCGCGGGAGGCAGACCUGCAGCUGUCCGCUGGGCUGUGAACGCCAGGGCCGAGCGGAAGCUUCCCGCCCGGCCGCGAUCUGCGCGGCGGCUCGCAGGGAAGUGUCUGCACACCGCCCCCGGAAAAGCAGAUUAUCGGAGCCCUUUCAGAGAGCGCACAACAAAUGCGCCCGCCAUCGAAUGCAUCAUUUACCACCGCAGAUCCGCGCGCUGAUGGCCAGGCAGAUAGCCGUCCGCUGGGGGCACGCGGGCGCCCCGUGCCCGAACCACCCGCCUGCCUGCCAGGGCCACGGAGUGUGUGCCCCUGUAUGCCCGGCGUGUUUGGACGGACACGUGGGUAUGCCAGUGCAUGGACUAACGCCGAUGCGAGUGUGCGGGUGUGUCAAACAAGUGUGCCACAAAAAAGUGCACAUGUGCGAGUCCAUUCAUGCACAUGCAUGGCGGUCGUGUGCGUGCUGAGUGCCCGAAGGUAACCGAUGAGGCGGUUGGAGGGUGCACAGGAGGCGGUGUUGCACUGAGCAUGUGAGCAGGCAUGCGGCCCAGGGUGGCUGGACACGUGGUGGAGGAAUGGGAGUGCAAGCCCGCGUGUCCGAGUGCAGAGGAUGAGCGUCCUGCCAGUGCCUCACUGUGUCUGCCCUGGAGGUGGCUGUUUAGGAGGGCACGCUGGAGGCCACUAGGGUCGAUGUGCGGUGUGUAUGCAGGUGCCCACCCUGAGUUGUGUUUCAGGGCACACAAGCUUCCUGUGCCUGCUGGAGGUGAACGUGCAGGUGUCAGUGCUCCCUCUGGGCGUGAUUGUGAUGUGCUCGGGUCUGCAUGAGGCUGUGUGUCCUGCUGUAUCUGCCCAGGUGUGCCCAGGUGAGCUGCGUGAGGGGCACGGGGGAACUGCAGUAGUUGGGGCCUGUCCGUGUGCCAGCGUGAGUAGACACUGGGCUGGGGAAGCGACAGGGAAUGGUGUGUGCGCUUGUGACAGACGCCAGAGCGGCCAGGUGGAACGUGCUGUGUCACAGGAGACUUUUUGGCAGAAAACGGAGUGUGCGAGUGUAGGAGGAGGGGCCGUCCACGGAGUUUGGGGACACCCGGGGGUCCGAGCCCCAGAGCCUCCCCGCCGGAGCUCUGCAGCUGGGGCAAGGAAGCCCGAACCCGCCGCCUGAGGUCCCCAUGCCGUGAGUGACACGCGCCGCCGACAAAGGCUGUAUUUUUCCAGGCUCGCACCCCGCCCGCGUGCGCGCGAUGGUCCCCAUGGCGACGCAGAUAGCGCCGCAGCCAUUUUCCCUAUCUCCCCGGAGUCUAUUAUACUGCGGGAUUAGCUCAUCUCCAGGCAGGUCAAACCCAAAGUCACACAACCUGCUACGCGAGCCCCGCCCCCGCUCCCCGGCCGCCCCUCCCCCGCCCCGGCCCGCGCCCGGGCCCGAGUCUGGGCCCCGGCCCGGCGACCCCAGCCGCUGUCCAAGAGCAGGCGCAGAGCGCCACCUGGCGGCUGCGGUGUCUAGGGUGGAGUCCGAGGAGCCGGCUCCCGUGCAGAAGAGGUUGGGUGACGGUCUCUACCUCCAGAAGGCGGGCUUUCCGGGAGCAGGGGCUUUGCUUUGUCACUGCUGUUCCCCAGGGCCAGGCUGACACACAGUAGGUGCUCCAUAAGUGUUUGUUGAAAGGAUGGGUGAAUGGAUGGGCAGGAAAUUAUAGACGGGGUGGGCGGGGGUGGGGGCAAGCUGCCAAAGGCUACAGUUUAGUUGGCAGCAAGAAAUCGUUUCUGAGAAUGCAUCCCACAGAAUUUAGAAUAAAAGCCAAAAACGCCAAACUCUUAGAACCUAUGUAGUGGCCCUUACUGACCUCUCAGACCUCAUUUCCUUCUUCCUUACUGCAUCCACAGUGGCUGUCUUCCUGUUCCAGAGCGUUCCAUCUCAGGUCCUUUGAGUCUACUGUUCCCGCCGCCCCGAGUGCAUUCCACGUCCACUCAAGUGUCACCCUCCGAGAGCCAGGUUGCUCCUUUGUGCCCCACUCUUCCCUGUGAAUUUCUUUCUUUUUUUUU